rnacentral:misc_RNA from 1 species
GAUGAAGAACGCAGCGAAAUGCGAUACGUAGUGUGAAUUCCAGAAUUCAGUGAAUCAUCGAAUCUUUGAACGCACAUUGCACCUCUCGGUAUUCCGGGAGGUAUGCCUGUUCGAGCGUCAUUUGUACCCUCAAGCUCUGCUUGGUGUUGGGUGUUUGUUCCGCCUCUGUGUGUGAACUCGCCUCAAAACAAUUGGCAGCCGGCGUACUUGUUUCGGAGCGCAGCACAUUUUGCGAUCCAGAUCAACGUACAGCGGCAUCCAAGAAGCCUUAUUUAACGCUCUUGACCUCGGAUCAGGUAGGGAUACCCGCUGAACUUAAGCAUAUCAAUAAGCGGAGGA